rnacentral:rRNA from 1 species
UACGUAGGGGGCAAGCGUUGUCCGGAAUCAUUGGGCGUAAAGCGCGUGUAGGCGGCUUGGUAAGUCCGCUGUGAAAGUCCAGGGCUCAACCCUGGAAUGCCGGUGGAAACUGUCAAGCUUGAGUCCGGAAGAGGCGAGUGGAAUUCCUGGUGUAGCGGUGAAAUGCGCAGAUAUCAGGAAGAACACCCGUGGCUAAGGCGGCUCUCUAGUACGGUACUGACGCUGAGACGCGAAAGCGUGGGGAGCGAACAGG